CUCAAAUUGGGUAGACAGCCAGUUCCAUUUGUAUAUAGAAUUUAAAGCUGAUUCUUAAUCUUCUGUGUUAAUAGUCCAGGAUGGCCUCUGAAAGAAAUAUAGUUAUUAAUGCCUGCCUGCAGUAUUUUAAUUUCAUCUGCAUAAAUAUAUCUUGGUCUGUAUGAUGGAUCUUUAACAUGUCAUUGCCAUUUUAAGAAAGGGGGAAACUCCUGUGAAGAAAACAGAGCGACAAGAGAAAAAAAGCUAAUCUUUUUGUUGGGCUUAGGGCACGUCUGUUCUGCAGGCAGCAGCAUGACACAGAGCUGUGGAGUUCAGCGGAUGUGAGCAGCCCCACCAUGCGCCGAUCCGCCUGCCUGGGGGCACUGCAUUGGUUCACCUGGACGGAUGGAGCUUUGUUGAUAGGCUUCUUUCCUAUUUUCUAAUCUUAGACCAGAGGAUUAGGGAGCAUGUCCUGACAAAGGCCAUUAAUUCCUGUAUGGCUUCAUAUAUCAAAGUAUUGCCACCAGAACAAAAAGCCGGAAGUGCUUGGAUGUAACUUCUUCUCCUCAUCUUCAGUAUCUGACAGAGAGACAAGCUGCCUUAAGAAUGAAAAGAGUGACUAGAAAGUAACAGUAAGUAGUAGUCCUUUUGUUUUGGUUACAACUAAAUUAUAUCUACCAAGAAGCAUUUCAGCUGCUUUCAAGAAUAUGAAAUGUCUCUGAAAAUCUUGACCUAAGUUUAGAAUUUCCAUUUUGUUCUCUUACUGCAUCUCUAAAUAGAAAAGGUGAGCACAACAAAUAUAACAAAUAUAAUACCUCAAUUGCAGUAACUCUCUCUAUUAAACAAUAGUUGUCAGGAAGGGAAACGAUUAAAGAGGAGGCUUCAAAAUAUUCUUUAGAAAUAUUUGAGAAGCCAUGACAGAAUCACAGAAAUUACAAGUAGUGUCAUUUAUUAGUUUUCUGCUUUAGUUUAAGAGAAAUUUUUAACUUCUAGAAGCACUGAAUUUUUCCUAUGCUCUGUCUAGAAGUCAUUAGUUUUGAGUUUGUGGGUGUCACAUGCACAGAGAAGACAGCACCUCAGGUGCAGAACUGUUCUAUGAAUGCAGGACUUGCAAACUGCCCUGUAGAUUUAGCCCCCCAAAAUGUCUCCAUAUGAAAAACAUCAGACUAUUCCAUAACAGCCCACGAACUGAUGCAGAGGUAACAAUGAAGGAAGUGCAGUUUUUUUGGAAAUACAGAGAUUUUAAAUAAGAUUCAAUUGCAAACAGUUGCAUUAUGCUCAUCCAAUCUCUGUUUGAAUGUUCUUAUAGCCCAUUGCUUUGCCUGUGGCUACUCUAGAAUGGGUGUAAAGGCAUGUCAAAGUGGGUGGAGGUAUGAAAACAAUCACUCUUAAAAGGACUUCACCAGAAGAAAUUCUUUGCUGUGAGGCUGCUGAGGUACUGGAACAGGUUGCCCAGGGAAGUUCUGGAUGCCCCAUUCCUGAUAGUGUCAUGGUCAUGUUGGAUGGAGCUCUGAGAAACCUGGUCUAGUGGGAGGUGUCCUGCACAUGACAGGGGGCUUGGAGCUAGAUGAUCUUUAUGGUCUCUUCAAACCCAAACCACUCUAUGAUUUUUUUUCUCAGCUCCCACCCUCACCUAGAAGUGAAAUAAUUCACUGCCAUUUGAUAUGAAGCCACAUUCCCACUUUCACAUUUUACUUUAUAUCUAUUUAACCAUAGUAAAGAAGGAGUAGGAGGCGAAAAAUAAAUACAGCACUACUAUGAAGCACAAUGUAAGACAUAAUGUGCCUUGUGCAGAUACUUAACAUGUUCCCAGAUGCAGCUGUGAAAAAUGCCAGAAGUCUGCCUAGGAAAAGGUUCUCAGCAUCAAUACAGGCCUGAGAUAUAUCCUGUAACAAAAAUAUGCCCUGAUGCAUUUUAAGUCUCUUGCUGACAAGUAGAAUUGCUCAGCUAGAAUAGAGAGAUAGUGGUCUUUUUUUUGGGAGAAACCAUUUGGUUUCUGAGACUGUAUGUUUCACUAGGUUGUUUGGUGGGUUUCCUUUUUCCAAUACUGGAUUUAGGCUCCAGAUUCUCCAAGGCAGAAUGUCUUUUUCUAGGUAGGUAUCUAUUGAUAUAUUUAAGCCUAGAGCCUCACUGUUUGAUAACUCUGCUUCCCUCAUUUAAACUGAUUAAGUAGCAUCUUUAUAAUUGUAAAAUUCAUUGUUCUAAAAUGUUCCAAGUGGCAUUUAUGGUAAGUGGAAUGGAAUAAAGGAACUUCAAGCACUUGGUAAAAAAACAGGCUACUUAGGCCAUCUCUGCAAGCAUGUCAUAUCUCUGCCUUCCAGUAGUGUCUGCUUAAAAGAUAUUAUUGUGGCUGUCUGGAAGAUCAAGGAUAAUAAUGGCAAUGUAAAUGAAUCUGUGUUGGCCUGCAAAGGGAUAUGCAGAGUUUUUUGCUUGAGCCAAUAAUAAAAUUAGGCCAGUAAAAUCCCCAAAGUGAAUUGAUGCACAGACAAAUAACAGCUUGGACAACUUUUGAUAACCUCAUGGGGCCAGCUCCUCUCCUGUCACCUCUCCUCCUGCCAUAGUGGUUAUUGAGUACAGCUCAGCUUUGUCAGGCUAGUCAGACUGAAGGGAGUUUACUCAGUCCUUGAGGAAAGCUUUAGUUCUUUGCUCUGGGUUUAUUGUUGCUGUGGUUACAGACACUUGAGCUGGGAAGUGUAAAAGGAGUUCAGAUAUGUUUAUGUGAACUCUUAUGACGUGCAUAGGUAAAUGCAUAUCCUUUAGAAGGAGGACAUUAAUCACAAUAGGAAGGCAUAUUGAUGUGUUGGCUGCAUUGUGGUGGAUAAGUUUUUUCCUGUGAAAAUAUCAGAUUUGAUUGGAAAGGUUAAAGAAAAGAGGGAUGCAACAAGAAAUGCAGGAAUAAAAGUUCCUGUAACACUGCCUUCUACCCCAUGGAGGAAAAGAUAGUGAGGUGUAUGCAUGGCUGCAUUAGCUAGUCAGGAGUGUGUAGACAGGAUUAGAAUAUUUUGUUUGGAGAAGGCUAGAGGUAGUUUUAUGUAAGUGAAUGUUGAGUGCAUCUUAGCUAUUUGAGCAUGUGGUUUUAUUUUCCCUUUGUUUUGUUGAGGUCUUAAAACUCUCUGCUACCCUUUGGAGAAUGUUCAAAAGGCACUAAAGAGAGAAGAUACGAGAAAGGACAUUUUUGAUGCCUAUUUCCAUGGCAUGACCUUGUUGCCCAAGAGGAAGGAGAGGACCAUGAGCAGAACAGAGCAUGAAAGAGCUUUUCUUUGGGUAAUAACAGUGUGAGGUGAAAUCUUUGUCAUCUCCUCCAUCCAGAGUUUUGUUGUACUCAUUUUCUGUAUUUGCUUCAGCUCAUUACUUGAAGGGACUGAAGACUGUAACUUGUCCUAGCAAAAAAAAUCUCUCUAAGAUGCUUCAGGUAAGUCCUUAUAAGAUCUUACCAGGCAGUUUAUCUAACUGUUCUGAUCAGUGUCUUCCUCAGUCUAAAGAGAAACAUGAAUGUCUUUCCCACUGAGGUAAAGUGCUCUCUGACUCUUCAGAUUAAAACAGAUCUAGACUCCUCCAGCAUUUUCUUCAUGACUGCCAUUCCUACUUUGCAGCACAUCUGCCAUCUGAACAUGCACUGGAAGAUGAAAUUGUCUGAGAGGCAUGUUGCCAAUGAAGAUGCUCAGUUUCAAUACCAACCUGUUUGUGUGUGGAACUCAGCUAUGACAAGACAGUACAAACUAUAUGUUACACAAUUAAAAAUUUGUUGAAAUUCCCAGUCUAUUAUUCUUAGCAUUUUUUCCAAAAAUUAAACUAAAUUAGCCUGUUCUUACAUUUGAUAAACUAGUAGCUUCUAAAUUUAUUGGAACAAUAAUUUAGAAAGAGGCAGUGCUUAUUUUAAUCCAUUUGAAAAAUAUCUUGCCUAUGGCUCCUUUUCUGAGUGUCUUGAACAGCAUGUCUGUCUCACAACUAUUUUUCCAUGGUUUGCCUUUCCUUGAGUAUUAGUAGCUAUAUCUUCAGUUUCAAAGUAACUUCUUAAUCUCUGCCUGUUUACCAAGCACAGGUGACAUAAUUGUCAUGGGGAGAAUGGGAAAAAAACAACCUGAUUUGUCUAAAAUCAGAUGGGGAGUCCUACCAGGCAUAACUGUACCAUAUUCCCAGAAAUUGUGUUGAGUACCUCUUUCCCUUGAUUAUCUAUUUAUUUACUUUUAUUUUCCUGCUUUUCUUCCCAAUCCCAUCUGCAGAAUGCUUUUAUAAAAAUAAAUAAAUGAAAAUCCAUUAAAGGAUUAGGUUUCCACGAUGUAUUGUUAGGUGCAUGUAAUAUGAUCAAAAAUCAAUUUUAGAAAGUAACUUCUUGGUAUGAUUUUACUGUAGUUUUGCAUUCCUUGAAUAAUGUUGUACAUAUCACGGCAGAAUGGACCAUGGAUUUGUUCUAAUUAAUCAUAAAGCUCUCUUCUCUAGUCUUUCAUUUUUCUUCAUAUCUCAGAGACUGGCAGAGAAAGGGAAGAAAAACUGCUUCACUGUUAGGAAGGUUAUGCAAUUUAGUGGCUUUUAUGGGAGUCCUUGUGGACACUGGCAUAAGAAAUAUGAGAAGGGACAGGAGAAAAAGGUAGGUGGUUGGCUUUUGAACAGGGAGAGGUGAGCUUUCAAUGGCUUCCUCCAAAGUUUUUUAGAUUUCUCUUUCUCAAUGUAACACUCAGUUGCCUUACAAGUUAUGUCCUGAGCCUUGUUGGUCUGAGACUGAAACAAGCAAAAUAACUCAAGGGUUUUGAUUUGAAGGUCAGUUCUCAUUCCUUCACGCAGGUGUACCAUCUUUGUAAUGCAUUCUCACAACAAAAUGUCUGCAAUCUGGCAAAAUUAGUAGAAGCUUUUGCAUGGACACUGAACAUAGCAGAGAGAGAGCUCUUUGUCAGCAUCCCUGUCCCUCCAGUUCAAGGAACAUGGCAGCCCAUGAUCUCCUAGAGUGUGAUGAUUCACUAAUGAAGAAAUAGGAAAAUUAUAUGAGAGAGAGCUAUUUAUACAUCUGUGUCACCACAUGCUGCUGGGAUAAAGAGUCUGUCUCUUUCACGUUCAAAGUGUAAACCAGCAGGUACUCAAGCCUACACCGAAAAUCUUAUUUUUUCUUACCCUUGCAGAUGUUGUGCAGCACAUGGCAUGUGGAGAUGACACAGGCAUCUACAUCUUCAUUAGCAGCAAAGAGUUUCCACAGGCUAUAUUGGUUUAUUUUUGUUUGCCUCAUUAACUUACUUGUUUCUAAAAGCCCAAAACAAACUUUUAAUCAGGUAAAAUCCUGGCUGAUUGUUCUGAUUCGGAAAUGGUGUAACAUGUACUAGUAUCUUAUUGUUAUUGAUCUUCCUACUGCAAGCCCUUCUGGUGGAUUGCACCACAGCAUGCACCUGUCAUCUUGGCCAACUAUAGCCUAACCAGCACUGUGCAGGUGUUCUGCAAAGUUAACAUUCACUUCUUUGUUGACCUUUGGUUGUCAUGUAUUUUUAUUUUUCUUAAUGAUACAUGUUAGAAUCCUUUUGGAGUCAUGGAGUUCCUACUCUCUAAAAGGAGCUUAUGUUUCUACACAUGUUUAUGCAUCCAGUUCAAGGAUAAGGCAGUGAUUAAUUACAGCAUGCUGUUCUCGUCCAGGAACAGCAAACAGGUCCUAUAGCCCUCCAGCAUCCUAUAAAGAUUGACACUCCCUGAGUUCCUACAGGAUAAAACUUUUGCUCCCAUCAGUGUUAGUAAUGCAUACAGGUAAAAUUUGACUUACAAAAGAUUUAAAACAGUUGGUAGAUAGCAUCUGAAUUAGAAUUCUCAGCUGUGCAAAGCUGAAAGAUGUAGUCUCCAGAACAGCCGCUGUCUGGCUCUUUUUUCCAGACACAGUUUUCAGACAUGGGGCAGACUAAAAUGAAAAAUCUGCUGAUGCAAGGUUAUGAUUUUUGGGAACAGGCUGGCCAGGUGUACCUUGGUUUUCUCAUUAUGUUCAGUCAGGCUUCUUUGGCUGACUGCAAUGCACUUUUUGUGGGUUAUUUAAUUUUCCUUCCUGGUAUAGAUUGAGUUGCAAUCAGCCUGCAUUCAAGCAAUACACUCUGAGGAGGUGAAUCACUACCAGUAUUCAUUUGAGAAGCCCAGUGUGUAUAUAAUAAAGUG